AACGAACGCUGGCGGCAUGCCUAACACAUGCAAGUCGAACGAGACCUUCGGGUCUAGUGGCGCACGGCUGCGUAACGCGUGGGAACCGUCCCUUAGGGUCGGAAUAACUCCCCGAAAGGGGUGCUAAUACCGGAUCAUGUCUUCGGACCAAAGAUUUAUCGCCUUUGGUUGGUCCCGCGUUGGAAUAGCUAGUUGGUAGGGUAAAAGACUACCAAGGCGACGAUCCAUAGCUGGUCUGAGUGGAUGAUCAGCCACACUGGGACUGAGACACGGCCCAGACUCCUCGGGGAGGCCGCAGUGGGGACUAUUGGACAAUGGGCGAAAGCCUGAUCCAGCAAUGCCGCGUGAGUGAUGAAGGCCUUAGGGUUGUAAAGCUCUUUUACCCGGAUGAUAAUGACAGUACCGGGAGAAUAAGCUCCGGCUAACUCCGUG
rnacentral:rRNA from 1 species